ACCUGAUCCCAUCCCGAACUCAGAAGUGAAACGCGCAUGCGCCGAUGGUAGUGUGGCUUUGCCAUGCGAGAGUAGGUCACCGCCAGGG
rnacentral:rRNA from 1 species